UACGAAGGGAGCUAGCGUUGUUCGGAAUCACUGGGCGUAAAGCGCACGUAGGCGGGUGUGUCAGGCAGGGGUGAAAUCCCGGAGCUCAACUUCGGAACUGCCUUUGAUACAGCACGUCUUGAGUCCGAUAGAGGUGGGUGGAAUUCCUAGUGUAGAGGUGAAAUUCGUAGAUAUUAGGAAGAACACCGGUGGCGAAGGCGGCCCACUGGAUCGGUACUGACGCUGAGGUGCGAAAGCGUGGGGAGCAAACAGG
rnacentral:rRNA from 1 species